rnacentral:rRNA from 1 species
UUUUUUAAGAGUUUGAUCCUGGCUCAGAGUGAACGCUAGCGGUGCGCCUAAUACAUGCAAGUCGAGCGUCCAUCUUCGGAUGGAAGCGGCGAACGGCUGAGGAACACGUUGGAACCUGCCCCGAACUCAGGGAUAACAUCGAGAAAUCGGUGCUAAUACCGGAUAGUCCCGCAAGGGUAAAGAUUUAUCGGUACGGGAGGGGCUUGCGUCCCAUCAGUUUGUUGGUAAGGUAAUGGCUU